rnacentral:rRNA from 1 species
GACGAACGCUGGCGGCAGGCCUAACACAUGCAAGUCGAGCGGAGCGGCGGACGGGUGAGUAAUACCUAGGAAUCUGCCUGGUAGUGGGGGAUAACGUUCGGAAACGGACGCUAAUACCGCAUACUAUCAGAUGAGCCUAGGUCGGAUUAGCUAGUUGGUGAGGUAAUGGCUCAAAAAGGCUACGAUCCGUAACUGGUCUGAGAGGAUGAUCAUGCACACUGGAACUUAGACACGGUCCAGACUCCUACGGGAGGCAGCAGUGGGGAAUAUUGGACAAGUGGCGAAAGCCUGAUCCAGCCAUGCCGCGGGUGGGAAGAAGGGCUUCGGAUUUUAAAGCACUUUAAGUUGGGAGGCGUUACCGACAGAAUAAGCACCGGCUAACUCUGUGCCAGCCGCCGCGGUAAUUC